CUAUCAUAUAUACUAUUUCUUUCUUGUAACAAAACAAAAUCAACCAUAUAUAUACCUGUGUGCACAGCAAUAUUGUUAUAUGAUCAGUCACAAAGGAAAAAGUGAAGCUGCCAGCAUGAUCUAGGUAUGGUUAUAGAAUAUUGUUACUGUUUAUGUGGAAGCUAUAUACAUAACCCUGACUAGGUCAUGCUGUGCUAGCCUCACUCCUUCCUAUUUGGAGACCAAUAUAUAUUCUCAACAAAAGAUACCUACCUACCUUCUACACAUACACAAAGCAAAAUUAAGGGAUGAAAACUUCAUCAACAUUUGGAGGUUCCAAAUGAAGAAUGGACAUGAUACAGGUAUUGAAUAUGUAUGGUAUCCAUUGAAGCACGUCAUUCUUUGGAAAAUUUAGGAUAUUGUAAGUUAAGGAAAUUUAAGAAAUGAUAGGUUAAAGAUACUUUUAUUAGUAUUAUUUUUAUUAUUAUUUAUUAUUAUUAUUAUUAUUAUU